rnacentral:rRNA from 1 species
AUUGAACGCUGGCGGCAUGCUUUACACAUGCAAGUCGAACGGUAACAGGCCUUCGGGUGCUGACGAGUGGCGGACGGGUGAGUAAUGCAUCGGAACGUACCCAGAGGUGGGGGAUAACGCAGCGAAAGCUGUGCUAAUACCGCAUGUGAUCUGAGGAUGAAAUCGGGGGACCGAGCAGCAAUGUUUGGCCUCGCGCCUUUGGAGCGGCCGAUGUCGGAUUAGCUAGUUGGAGGGGUAAAGGCCUACCAAGGCGAAGAUCCGUAGCUGGUCUGAGAGGACGACCAGCCACACGAGGACGGAGACACGGCCCAGACUCCUACGGGAGGCAGCAGUGGGGAAUGUUGGACAAUGGGCGCAAGCCUGAUCCAGCAAUGCCGAGUGCGGGAAGAAGGCCUUCGGGUUGUAAACCGCUUUUGGCAGGAACGAAACGGUGUCCGCUAAUACCGGGCGCUAAUGACGGUACCUGCAGAAUAAGCACCGGCUAACUACGUG